GAUAGUUUUGUAUUUUC
rnacentral:sRNA from 1 species